GGCUAGGUAGCUCAAUAGGUAGAGCACCUGGUAUAUAUAUUCAGGAGGCCUGGGUUCAAACCCCAGUCUGGUCA